GGAAGCGGGCGGAGGCCACCUCAUCAGCGCCUUCUUCUUCUUCCUCUGGGCCAACCACUCGCGCCGCUAAGAGAGCCCGUGUCACCAAAGUUUCUACUUCUACUUCCACCGUCAAUUCCACUCCCGUUGCCCCAACUGCAUCGAUCUCUACUCGUUCCCGCAUCACAACUCGUUCUCAGGACUCACUAGCAUCUUCUACACCCAUGGACUCCACCAAUGAAUCUUCUGGGUCAGCUAGCCGAAACCGCCGUGGUAAGAACCCUAGUCAUGGUUCCGAUAGGGAUAAUUUGGAUAAAGGUAAGGAGAAAGAACAUGAGGUUAGAGUUAGGGAUAAAGAAAGGGAUAGGGAUGCCGAGCGGAUUCUUGGAUUGAACAUAGAUUCUGGUGGUCCUGGUGAGGACGAUGACAAUGAUAGUGAGGGCGGUGUUGGGAUUUUGCAUCAAAAUUUAAAUUCAGCAAGUAGUGCUCUUCAGGGACUGCUUAGGAAAUUGGGUGCUGGAUUGGAUGAUUUACUCCCUAGCUCUGGCGUGGGGUCGGCAUCAUCAUCCCACCAAAGUGGCCGGCUCAAGAAGAUAUUAGCUGGUUUAAGGGCGGAUGGGGAGGAAGGAAAACAGGUUGAAGCUUUAACUCAGCUGUGUGAGAUGCUAUCCAUUGGAACAGAAGACUCCCUCUCCACAUUUUCUGUGGACUCAUUUGUACCGGUACUUGUAGGACUGCUCAAUCACGAGAACAAUCCUGACAUUAUGCUUCUUGCGGCCCGUGCUCUGACCCAUUUGGUUGACGUUCUACCUUCUUCCUGUGCUGCUGUUGUCCAUUAUGGAGCUGUUUCAUGCUUUG
rnacentral:misc_RNA from 1 species